AAUGAACGUUGGCGGCGUGGAUUAGGCAUGCAAGUCGAGCGAGAACCCCGCAAGGGGGGAGAGCGGCGAAAGGGAGAGUAAUACAUAGGUACCUACCCCCGGGCCUGGGAUAGCGGCGGGAAACUGCCGGUAAUACCAGAUAAUGUCCCCGGACCAAAGAUGUGAUUUCACCUGGGGAGGGGCCUAUGGCCUAUCAGCUUGUUGGCAGGGUAACGGCCUACCAAGGCAAAGACGGGUAUGGGGCGUGAGAGCGUGCCCCCACUCACUGGGACUGAGACACUGCCCAGACACCUACGGGUGGCUGCAGUCGAGAAUCUUCGGCAAUGGGCGCAAGCCUGACCGAGCGACGCCGCGUGCGGGAUGAAGGCCUUCGGGUUGUAAACCGCUGUCGUAGGGGAGGAAGGGCCUGUGAAGAACAGGACUUGACCGAUCCUAGGAGGAAGGGCCGGCUAAUCUCGUGCCAGCCGCCGCCGUAAAAC
rnacentral:rRNA from 1 species